UGUAACUGAGUCAGGUUUGUAUGCCUCCUUGCUCGCACACGCUUUUUCAGUUCUGCCCACAAAUUGUCUAUAGGAUUGAGGUCAGAGCUUUGUGAUGGUCCCUCCAAUACCUUGACUUUGUUGUCCUUAAGCCAUUUUUCCACAACUUUUGAAGUUUGCUUGGCCACAUGGUCGCAAAUGGUUCUUCCAAAUGGACAAAGCUUUAACUUCCUGACUGAUGUCUUGAGAUGUUGCUUCAAUAUAUCCACAUAAUUUCCCUUCUUCAUGGUGCCAUCUAUUUUGUGAAGUGCACCAGACCCUCCUGCAGCAAAGCACCCCCACAACAUGAUGCUGCCACCCCGUGCUUCACGGUUGGGAUGGUGUUCUUCGGCUUCAGGGCUCUACAGUGCGAGUAUUUCACUCGCAUUUCCCCCUAAAAAUAGAUAUGUGCGAACCGGAAAAAAUAUUUACGAGCACUGUGCGCGAUUUAAAGAUUACAACCUACCGUAAUCUAUUUUCCCCCCGCUGCUAAUUGUUUAAAAACUACAAGUCCCACAUUCCACAAGCGGCAUGCGCCAACCACAGUAGCUUUCUGUGAUGACGCAGUCCAGUCAGAGAGAGAAAGGUGAACACUGGAAAAUAGUAUCGGUAUAGGCUAUAAGUUAACGUGCAGACAUCGCAAAAAUGAAGCCCAUUCAAUUUUAUUUUAAUCGACAAGGAGAAAGAGGAAUCCAGCGAGGGGGAUUCGCAAGUUUCAACUAAUGAAGCCUCUUCACAAGGUUUACCUGAGGCGGCUAAUGUUGACAUGGCGGCUAACGUUAGGGAUGCUGAGAACAACGUUAGCGAAGCUACCGUGACGCCCGCUGUCACUUCAACGUCCACUGUGGCGGGAGAACAUAUAGAUUCAAUGCGAAUUGGCUCAAAUUGUUCCCAUGGCUAGAGUUAGAAAACAACGUCAUGUUCUGCAAAUAUUGUAGAAUGCAGAAGGAAACCCGCAUCUGAAAAGAGAGCGUAACGAAACAUAACAUCUCGCGGCGGUAUAUCCAGUUCAAAGAUCUGUACCAGUUGAGACAGGAGAAACCAUCAGGCAUGGUGUCAGCAGCCUUGAGGUGGCAAGUGCUGCUGUCUGAGGAGGAGAAGAGGAGGCAGCUGAAAAUAAAGAUAAACAUCGCAUACUUCAUUGCGAAAGAACAAGAACCUUUCGUCAAAUUUGUGCCGCUUAUCAGACUCCACCACAAAAACGGAGUUGACAUUAAUCCCACAGAAGACAAUGAUGUAAGAUGUGCAGAGAUGAUCGGUCAAAUUGCUGACAUAAUGAGAGAGCCUGUCAGCGAAGCCGAAAGCCGCGAAGUAUCUUGCGGUUCUAAUAGACGGAGACACUGAUAUAUCCAACACCGAAUGCGAGAUUGUCUACGUACGCUUGUUGGAGGAUGGGAAGCCAGUCAAUCUCUUGGUCGGACAACAGACCCUUGAGCACUCUCAUGCCAUUGGUGAGUUGUUCCUCUUCAUAGGCUUUAUUCUUGUGUAAAGUCUAAUCAUUAUUCAUAAUGGAGAUAAUUUAGUUUGUCAAAAUACUUUUGUAUAAUUGUUUUUUUUGUGUUGUCAUUCAAGGUGUUUUGGAUGCCACCAAGGCCACAUUUUGUGCUGUUUGCCCAGAGGAGGAUGGAGGGUCAAUGAUGACGAAGUGCAUCUCCUUCGGGGCAGAUGGUGCCUCCGUGAACAUGGUCCACUGUGGGGGAGUGAUUGCCCACCUGCAGAGAGAGGCGGGGGGGGCAUAUAAUCCCAAUCCACUGUAUGUCACAUAGAUUUGUAACUAAUAUCUAAUAAUCUCUGAUUUAGUUUUAUCUGCUGGCAGAGAAUGUUAAACAAUACAGUGUGUGUGUCUGUGUGCGUGCGCUAAGUGCUGGAAUGGUAAAUACCACAGAAUUAUUAUUUUCUGUUGGCACAAGAGACGGGGGGAAGGAGACGGUGAAUUGUUUGGAUGAUUCUGUUCUGACUUUUACAGACUACAGCUGGCAAUACUGACCAUUCAGAAGAAAGCCAAAGCUGUCUGUCGUGUACGAUCUUCUGAAUCUGAUAUGGAAGACGUAUCACUUCAGCGGAAAAUGCAAACGAGAGUUCUAUGUUCUCGGGCAAGAGCUCGGUGUGGAUAUUUGCACACUGUCUAGCGUCAAGGGUACUUGCUGGAUCCCCCAUGUCCACAGAGCCCUCAAAAUGUUCCUACGGCAUGGACAAGACAAGGACCUUGCCACUGACGAAGACCAGUGCACCGUUGUUCUGCAGCACAUGGAGCACCUGGCCGUAGCAUCAACAACAGCGGAAGUUCAAGGGCGGGCAAAGAAGGAUGCACUCUUUUGUGUAUUCUGCCAUUUUCUUUCAGACAUGUUUGAGGAGCUAUCCUCAUUUAGCCUCACCCUGCAAAGGAAUGACCUGAUCCUCCCCCAAGACACAUCAGAGUUGAGGAAGACAAUGACCAGACUGGAAGCACUAAAGCUUAGGGCAAAGGCAGGAGGCAUGCUGGAGAAGAUCCAGACCAUGCUUGCUCAGCAGCAGGGUGAUGAGAGGAGAUUCCAGGCAAUAACACUGAAGGGGAAUCUGAAAGGCUUCACGGACCUCACCAAUCCCCAGCUGAAGCAGCGCAUGGAGGUGGCCGUCAACAUCGGCGUGGAUGAUCUCAAAGCCAGGUUUGGUGGUUUGCUGAAGGAUGAGGGUGUCCAGACCCCAGUGGAGUCUUUCAGACUGCUAAACCCUGACACAUGACCAGAAGACCAGGCCAGCCUCCUCACCUUUGGCGAUGAUGGUGUGGCAUACCUGAUGAGGCAUUUCAAGGAGCCUCUAGAGAGUCCUGCAGAUCGGGGUGCAACAUGGCUGCAAUCCAGGAUGAGUGGCAGGGGCUGAAAAUCCUGGUCAGCCACAAUUUCAAGGACAAGUGCUACAGUGGCCUGUGGGAGACCAUGUUGACAAAGGACCCCUACAGGCACUAACUAUUACAAGAACAUACUGGAGUUGGUGCAGCUUAUGCUGGUGGGGCCCAUUUCAGCUGCCCAGUGUGAGCGAGGCUUCUCUGCGCAGAACCGGAUUAAGAAUUCGACAAGAAGCUGCCUUGGGGUCUCCACCACCGAAGACCUGAUGAGGAUCAGGCUGGAGGGGUCUUCUGUCAAGGAGUUUGAUCCCACUCCUGCCGUGGACCGCUGGCUGACCUCUAAGCGUGCCAGACAGCCAACAUACAAAAGCAGCCGGACAACUGAUAUCCUUUGCGUCAAGUAGGCAUGGGUCAAUGUGUGAUUUUGGUGAUAUGUGCUGUUCCACAGAUGUGUGUCCCUUAGUACACGCUCACACACACAGUAUAAAUAUGUAUGUAAUAAAUUGUUUGUUAAUAAACUCUGUGUUACAUUUUU